GACAGAGGCCUCAAGCGUUAGGCGGAAUCACUGGGCUUAAAGCGUGUGUAGGCGGACUUCUAAGUGCCUUGUGAAAUCCCACGGCUCAACCGUGGGAACUGCUGGGCAUACUGGGGAGUCUUGGGGCCAUUCAGGGGCAACUGGAACAAGCGGUGGAGUGGUGGAAAUGCGUAGAUAUCGGGAGGAACACCAGUGGCGAAGGCGACUUCCUGGC
rnacentral:rRNA from 1 species